AACGAACGCUGGCGGCAUGCCUAACACAUGCAAGUCGAACGAGACCUUCGGGUCUAGUGGCGCACGGGUGCGUAACGCGUGGGAACCUGCCCUUAGGUUCGGAAUAACUCCCCGAAAGGGGUGCUAAUACCGGAUAAUGUCUUCGGACCAAAGAUUUAUCGCCUUUGGAUGGGCCCGCGUUGGAUUAGCUAGUUGGUAGUGUAAAAGCCUACCAAGGCGACGAUCCAUAGCUGGUCUGAGAGGAUGAUCAGCCACACUGGGACUGAGACACGGCCCAGACUCCUACGGAAGGCAGCAGUGGGGAAUAUUGGACAAUGGGCGAAAGCCUGAUCCAGCAAUGCCGCGUGAGUGAUGAAGGCCUUAGGGUUGUAAAGCUCUUUUACCCGGGAUGAUAAUGACAGUACCGGGAGAAUAAGCUCCGGCUAACUCCGUG
rnacentral:rRNA from 1 species